rnacentral:rRNA from 1 species
AUUGAACGCUGGCGGCAUGCUUUACACAUGCAAGUCGAACGGUAACAGGCCGCAAGGUGCUGACGAGUGGCGAACGGGUGAGUAAUGCAUCGGAACGUGCCCAGUCGUGGGGGGUAACUACUCGAAAGAGUAGCUAAUACCGCAUACGAUCUAUGGAUGACAGCGGGGGACCGUAAGGCCUCGCGCGAUUGGAGCGGCCGAUGUCAGAUUAGGUAGUUGGUGGGGUAAAGGCUCACCAAGCCAACGAUCUGUAGCUGGUCUGAGAGGACGACCAGCCACACUGGGACUGAGACACGGCCCAGACUCCUACGGGAGGCAGCAGUGGGGAAUUUUGGACAAUGGGCGCAAGCCUGAUCCAGCAAUGCCGCGUGCAGGAAGAAGGCCUUCGGGUUGUAAACUGCUUUUGUACGGAACGAAACGGCUCUGGUUAAUACCCGGGGCUAAUGACGGUACCGGAAGAAUAAGCACCGGCUAACUACGUG